rnacentral:rRNA from 1 species
AUUGAACGCUGGCGGCAGGCCUAACACAUGCAAGUCGAACGAGUGGCGGACGGGUGAGUAAGGUAUGGGAAACUGCCUGAUGGAGGGGGAUAACUACUGGAAACGGUAGCUAAUACCGCAUACCAUCAGCUGAGCCCAGAUGGGAAUAGCUAGUUGGAUGGGUAACGGCUCACCAAGGAGACGAUCCCUAGCUGGUCUGAGAGGAUGACCAGCCACACUGGAACUGAGACACGGUUCAUACUCCUACGGGAGGCAGCAGUGGGGAAGAUUUCACAAUGGGCGCAAGCCUGAUGCAGCCAUGCCGCGUGUAUGAAGAAGGCCUUCGGGUUGUAAAGUACUUUCAGCGGGGAGUCGUUACCCGCAGAAGCAGCACCGGCUAACUCCGUGCCAGCAGCCGCGGUAAUAC